CGGGCCGGGGUUGCUUAUAAAUGCAAGUCGAGCGAACAGAUAAGGAGCUUGCUCCUUUGACGUUAUUCGGAGAAAAGGGUGAGUAACACGUGGAUAACCUACCUAUAAGACUGGGAUAACUUCGGGAAACCGGAGCUAAUACCGGAUAACAUAUUGAACCGCAUGGUUCAAUAGUGAAAGGCGGCUUUGCUGUCACUUAUAGAUGGAUCCGCGCCGUAUUAGCUAGUUGGUAAGGUAACGGCUUACCAAGGCAACGAUACGUAGCCGACCUGAGAGGGUGAUCGGCCACACUGGAACUGAGACACGGUCCAGACUCCUACGGGAGGCAGCAGUAGGGAAUCUUCCGCAAUGGGCGAAAGCCUGACGGAGCAACGCCGCGUGAGUGAUGAAGGUCUUCGGAUCGUAAAACUCUGUUAUCAGGGA
rnacentral:rRNA from 1 species